CGCCUGUUUAUCAAAAACAUCGCCUCUUGUUCAAUUAUAGGAGGUCCAGCCUGCCCAGUGACUUUGUUCAACGGCCGCGGUAUCCUAACCGUGCGAAGGUAGCGUAAUCACUUGUUCUUUAAAUGAGGACUAGUAUGAAUGGCCCCACGAGGGCUGCACUGUCUCCUUUUUCUAAUCAAUGAAACUAAUCUCCCCGUGAAGAAGCGGGAAUUAUCCUAUAAGACGAGAAGACCCUAUGGAGCUUUAAACAAUUGAAACAUUUGCUUUCCUCCUAACUCCUCCCGAGCUCUUUAUUUUUAUUUAAGCAUUAUUAUUUCUAGUUUUAGGUUGGGGUGACCACGGAGCAAAACUAAACCUCCAUGAAGAAAUGAAUAUUUUUAAGCCACAAACUACUUUUUUAAGCAUCAACAAAUUGACCUUCAUUGACCCAAUAUAUUGAUCAACGAACCAAGUUACCCUAGGGAUAACAGCGCAAUCUACUUCAAGAGCUCAUAUCGACAAGUAGGUUUACGACCUCGAUGUUGGAUCAGGGUAUCCUAGUGGUGCAGCCGCUACUAAUGGUUCGUUU
rnacentral:rRNA from 1 species